rnacentral:lncRNA from 1 species
CUCCCCUCUCCGCCCUCCUCCCUCCGCCCUUCCUCCCCAGUGUUUGUUUCAAGCUUGUGCAACCGGGAGGUGGAGGCGGAGGGAGGGCGCGAGCGGCCCGGCCGGGAGGUGCGGAAGUUCGCCGCAGCAGCUCAUUGGCGGGCAGCGCCGCUUUCAUCAUUUCUCGGAAAAGUCAAUUUCAUUUUCGCUUCCCCAGGUCGCGGCGGCGGGAGCAACAAGCAGCGGCUCGUGAGUCCGCGGCUCGCACCCAGGGGCGCCCGCACGUGCGGCUAGAACGUCCGAGUCGGGGUCCGGGGCGGGGGGCGCAGGCCCGCGGCGGUAGGGGAGGAGAGCGGGCACCCGAGUCUCCAUCCUCAGGGUGGCCUGAAGGUUCCAGGAGGGCGUCCGGCGAAGGCACGGGGCUGCGACCAUCCAGUUAGCAGGGCUGGUGUGACUGUUGAGAGUAAAUGAAAAUUCGUUUUGUGACACCGACCACCUCCAAGGAAUGAAAGGAGCAGUCAGCCGAAACGACAGCAUUACUUGCGUCCUUACCUAAUUGGAACCUUAUCCGUGGCUGAGGGUGCCACCAUUGGAGGGGCCGCCGCCCCCUCUGACACCACCUGGCGCUCCGCUCCAUUUAGGAGCUAGAACGAAAAGGAGGCCCAUCCCCCAGUAAGUCACAGCCCACGCCAAGAUGAGUUCUGGAGCCUGUGCGACCGAAGUUUCUUCACCGCAGGGCGAGGUGGACAAGGGUGUGAGUUACUUUGACUUCAAGACGUCUCAGUGGCGGCUGGUUCUGGAGAGAGGCUUUAUGCUGGAGCACUUCCAGCAAAGUUCGGCUGGGGCCUCCUUAACUCACUGGCUGGUCACCCUUGGCCUCGGUUUUCAACCAAAGCCUAAGGCCUCAGUUUUCAACGCUGUAAAUGGAAAUAAAUGAGAGAAGAAAGUACAGCCCGUGUGACAAGUGCAGCAAGCAAUGCAACUUCCUUGGGACCUACCCUUUGUGGUCCCUUGCUUUAAAAGUAUAGAUUCACAUUUAGUUAGACCUGUUUCUUCCUCGCAUGCAAUUUCACCAGUCUUUUCCCAGACUUCUGUACUCAACAGAGGAAGUUCCUUCCUGGGAGACCAUAGCUGUUUGUAUGUAAAGAGUUGCGAAAAAACAAAAGCAAAACAAAAAACUCCAACACCUCUCUGUCACAGAAGUAUUGAAUUAUAUAGACUGGAAAAAUGGAAGUAUCCAAGAAAACGCGUGUGAAGAAACUGUUAGAGCACCCUGGGAUGUGUGGGCCUGGGACUGUUUGCCUUUGGCACGGCUAUGCUCCGAGCUUUGGAGGAGCCAAGGAAGAAAGGCCUAGUUCCUGAUCUUAAGGCCUUUGCAGUGUGCAUUGGGAGACAUAGACUGCAAUGAAAAGAUCAUUAUUGCAAGAGACAAAUGGCAUGGAGCCACAUUCCCAGAGACAGAGUUUCACCAUGUUGCCCAGGCUGGUCUCAAACUCCUGAGCUCAAACCAUCACCCACCUCGGCUUCCCAAAGUGCUGGGAUUACAGGCGUGAGCCACCACAUCUGACCGCGGGAGUCCUUUUACCCAAAGCCACCCAACAGACCCACGCAGAGACUUUUAACCAGCAAUCGUCUCAGUUCCCUCUGAGGCUGCCGGCUCUCCCUGUGACAGCAGCCCAUCUUAGCCCUUCCUGUGUAUCUCUGCUGCCUAAAGGAUGAGAGUUUCCUAAAGUGUAGAACUGUGAGGGGUGGAGGGACAUUCCUCUCAUGCUGGCCUGAAUCCUGCACCUACUCUGGAGGUCUUUUGCCUUGUACCAUGGAGUUCGCCUACAUCACCUUGGAGAACCGACCCAGCACCUUCCAGGCCGGCUGGAUGCAUCCCCAGGAAGGAAGCCGCUGGUGGGGCCGGUCGCACUGAGUGCGCUUGGAGAACAAAGUGCUGUGUACAUUUCUGCUCAACACUACUCUAAGCCCACAGCGCCAGUUCAGAGGCUUUGGGAAGAGCAGGUGCCUUCAUCCAGUUUCCACUGUACCUCUUCUGAGGUACAGGAGAUAGAGGUCCCUCAUUUCAAGGUGACACUGGCAUCAGUCAAGCACAGAGCUAACCAACUGCCAAUCGUAAACAAGGAAGCCAGUGAGGACGCCCAAGGAAAGGCUCAGAAAGCUUCCGCCAGGGAGUGGGAUUUGAGCUCUACCUUACAGAACAGGUUGAAAAUAAAGAGCAGAGUAAUCAAAAGUAGAUUUAUGUGUGUAUAUGUAUCUGUUGCUAAUAUCCAGCCUUAAAAAUCCUUGACAGUGGCCUUCAGACUUAAACAUCUUCUCACUCCACCGAGAGCACCAAUCUGACAAACGCAUUCGGUCCUCUAGUCCAAUCCAGCUCAGUUUUCAAGCCAAGGGGAUUUUGCUGAAUUAUAUAUUCAAGAUAUCAGUAGAGUUAUAAAAGAAGGGUUGUUUCCCAGUUAAAUUAGGGAUGGUAGGAGGAAUCCUAGAUCCAACAUGUGGAAGAAAUAUGUGCAUUUAAUCAAAUCUCUAAGACAGCUCUUCAGCCUCUGAAAGCAUAGAUGGAAAACUAUCUCCUUGUGAUACUUUAACAGAUUCCUUAGGAACGAAAGAGAAAAGUUACAGUCAGUAACUUUUCAUGUCAGUGCCCGCAGACAUGAAUUCCUUGGCCCCUCUUAUAGCAUUCAUCAGUGGAUGGGCUGACGUAAUGACAGGCUCACUCAUUCAUGGUCACAUGCAGGAUGUACGGAAGAGUAGCUUCAAGUUAUUUGUUUUGUUUUUGGUUUUUUGUUUUUUUGAGACAGAGUCUCACUCUGUCGCCCAGGCUGGAGUGCAAUGGCACCAUUUUGGCUCACCGCAAGCUCCAUC